GAGUUUGAUCGUGGCUCAGAUUGAACGCUGGCGGCAUGCCUUACACAUGCAAGUCGAACGGCAGCAUGAUCUAGCUUGCUAGAUUGAUGGCGAGUGGCGAACGGGUGAGUAAUACAUCGGAACGUGCCCUGUAGUGGGGGAUAACUAGUCGAAAGAUUAGCUAAUACCGCACACGACCUGAGGGUGAAAGUGGGGGACCGCAAGGCCUCAUGCUAUAGGAGCGGCCGAUGUCUGAUUAGCUAGUUGGUGGGGUAAAGGCCCACCAAGGCGACGAUCAGUAGCUGGUCUGAGAGGACGAUCAGCCACACUGGGACUGAGACACGGCCCAGACUCCUACGGGAGGCAGCAGUGGGGAAUUUUGGACAAUGGGCGAAAGCCUGAUCCAGCAAUGCCGCGUGUGUGAAGAAGGCCUCGGUGUAG
rnacentral:rRNA from 1 species